rnacentral:rRNA from 1 species
AGUUCGAUUCUGGCUCAGAUUGAACGCUGGCGGGGAUGCUUUACAUGCAAGUCGAACGGCAGCACGGACUUCGGUCUUGGUGGUAAGGUGCGGUGAACGGGUGAUAAUGUAUCGGAACGUCGGUAGCGGGGGAUAACUACGCCGGAAAGGAAGCAUAUCAAAAAGGUCAGCCCUUUCGGGGGAAAGCGGGGGACCUUCGGGCCUCGCACUAUUAGAGCGGCCGAUAUCGGAUUAGCUAGUUGGUGGGGCAACGGCUCACCAUGACGAUCCGGUAGCUGGUUUGAGAGGACGACCGUCCAGUCACACUGGGACUGAGACACGGCCCAGACUCCUACGGAGGCAGCAGUGGGGAAUUUUGGAUAAUGGGGAACUCCUGAUCCAGCCAUCCCGCGUGUGCGAGCGAAGGCCUUCGCCAGGUACACCUCUGGCAGGAGUGAAACGGUACGGGAUAAUACCUGUGCAACUGACGGUACUCUGCAGAAUAAGCACUCGGCUAACUAUUUUCGUGCCAGCAGCUGCGGUAAUACGUAGGGUGCAAGCGUUAAUCGGAAUUACUGGGCGUAAAGCGUGCGCAGGCGGUUCGGAAAGAAAGAUGAAAUCCCAGAGCUUAACUUUGAACUGCAUUUUUAACUACCGAGCUAGAGUGUGUCAGAGGGAGGUGGAAUUCCGCGUGUAGCAGGAAUGCGUAGAUAUGCGGAGGAACACCGAUGGCGAAGGCAGCCUCCUGGGAUAACACUGACGCUCAUGCACGAAAGCGUGGGGAGCAAACAGAUUAGAUACCCUGGUAGUCCACGCCCUAAACGAUGUCAACUAGCUGUUGGGGCCUUCGGGCCUUGGUAGCGCAGCGCUAACGCGUGAAGUUGACCGCCUGGGGAGUACGGUCGCAAGAUUAAAACUCAAAGGAAUUGACGGGGACCCGCACAAGCGGUGGAUGAUGUGGAUUAAUUCCAUGCAACGCGAAAAACCUUACCUACCCUUGACAUGUCUGGAACCUGAAGAGAUUCGGGAGUGCUCGCAAGAGAACCGGAACACAGGUGCUGCAUGGCUGUCGUCAGCUCGUGUCGUGAGAUGUUGGGUUAAGUCUCAGCAACGAGCGCAACCCUUGUCAUUAGUUGCUACGAAAGGGCACUCUAAUGAGACUGCCGGUGACAAACCGGAGGAAGGUGGGGAUGACGUCAAGUCCUCAUGGCCCUUAUGGGUAGGGCUUCACACGUCAUACAAUGGUCGGGACAGAGGGUCGCCAACCUGCGAGGGGGAGCCAUCCCAGAAACCUGACCGGUAGUCCGGAUCGCAGUCUGCAACUCGACUGCGUGAAGUCGGAAUCGCUAGUAAUCGCGGAUCAGCAUGUCGCGGUGAAUACGUUCCCGGGUCUUGUACACACCGCCUGUCACACCAUGGGAGUGGGUUUUACCAGAAGUAGUUAGCCUAACCGUAAGGAGGGCGAUUACCACGGUAGGAUUCAUGACUGGGGUGAAGUCGUAACAAGGUAG